AACGAACGCUGGCGGCAUGCCUAACACAUGCAAGUCGAACGAGACCUUCGGGUCUAGUGGCGCACGGGUGCGUAACGCGAGGGAACCUUCCCUUAGGUUCGGAAUAACUCCCCGAAAGGGGUGCUAAUACCGGAUAAUUUCUUCGGACCAAAGAUUUAUCGCCUUUGGAUGGGCCCGCGUUGGAUUAGCUAGUUGGUAGGGUAAAAGCCUACCAAGGCGACGAUCCAUAGCUGGUCUGAGAGGAUGAUCAGUCACACUGGGACUGAGACACGGCCCAGACUCCUACGGGAGGCAGCAGUGGGGAAUAUUGGACAAUGGGCGAAAGCCUGAUCCAGCCAUGCCGCGUGAGUGAUGAAGGCCUUAGGGUUGUAAAGCUCUUUUACCCGGGAUGAUAAUGACAGUACCGGGAGAAUAAGCUCCGGCUAACUCCGUG
rnacentral:rRNA from 1 species